CCUGGUUGAUCCUGCCAGUAGUCAUAUGCUUGUCUCAAAGAUUAAGCCAUGCAUGUCUAAGUAUAAACAACUUUGUACUGUGAAACUGCRAAUGGCUCAUUAAAUCAGUUAUAGUUUAUUUGAUGGUACCUUGCUACAUGGAUAACUGUGGUAAUUCUUGAACUAAUAUAUGCAAUCAAGCCCUGGUUCUUGGAAGGAGUGUAUUUAUUAGAUAAAAAACCAAUGCGGCUCUCCCUUGGUGAUUCAUAAUAACUUCUUAAAUUGCAUGGCCUUGUGCUGGCAAUGCUUCAUUCAAAUAUCUGCCCUAUCAACUUUCAAUGGUAGGAUAGAGACCUACCAUGGUUUCAAUGGGUAAUGGGGAAUAAGGGUUUGAUUCCGGAGAGGGAGCCUGAGAAAUGGCUACCACAUCUAAGGAAGGCAGCAGGUGCACAAAUUACCUAAUCCCAACACAGGGAGGUAGUAACAAUAAAUAACAAUAUAGGGCUCUUUCRGGUCUUAUAAUUGGAAUGAGUACAAUUUAAAUCCCUUAACAAGGAACAAUUGGAGGGCAAGUCUGGUGCCAGCAGCCAUGGUAAUUCCAGCUCCAAUAGUAUAUAUUAAACCAAUAGCAUAUAUUAAAGUUGUUGCAGUUAAAAAGCUCAUAGUUGAACUUCAGGCCUGGCCGGGCGGUCCGCCUAACGGCGUGUACUGUCUGGCUGGGCCUUACCUCCUGGUGAACCGGCAUGCCCUUUAUUGGUGUGCACUAGGGAACUAGGACCUUUACCAUGAGAAAAUUAGAGUGUUCAAAGCAGGCCUAUGCCUGGAUAUGUUAGCAUGGAAUAAUAAAAUAGGAUGUGUGGUUCUAAUUUGUUGGUUUCUAGAGUUGCUGUAAUGAUUAAUAGGGAUAGUUGGGGGCAUUGGUAUUGAGUUGCUAGAGGUAAAAUUCUUGGAUUGACUCAAGACCAACUAUUGCAAAAGCAUUUGGGUAAUCUUGUGAAACUCUGUCAUGCUGGGGAUAGAGCAUUGCAAUUAUUGUUCUUCAACAAGGAAUACUUAGUAAGCGUGAGUCAUCAGCUUGCAUUGAUUACGUCCCUGCCCUUUGUACACACUACCAAUUGCUACUACCAAUUGAAUGGCUUAGUGAGGUCUUCAGACUGGCUUUGGGGAGCCAGAAACAGCACCCUGUUGCUGGGAAGUUGAUCAAACUUGGUCAUUUAGAGGAAGUAAAAGUCGUAACAAGGUUUCUGUAGGUGAACCUGUGGAAGGAUCAUUA
rnacentral:rRNA from 1 species